rnacentral:lncRNA from 1 species
CAACACCAGGCCUGUCAACGGCCAGCCUCAUUGUCCACGUUCAACUGACAGUGCCGGCAGGACUUACAGCUGCUGUUACACUCGGAAAGCACUGCUCCAAGAGCCUCUCUCAGGAAUCAGGGAACACACCAAGGCAUACAGUACGUCAGAGGAACCCUCUCCAAAAAAGUGGUCCACAUUUUCUGGAGAGGGAGAAUGUUCAACAGCGCUGAACUGUGAACUGAUUUCAGCCCCUCACGCCAGUCAGGCUGUAAGUCCGCAGACAGGUCUGCUGAAGCCGGACAGUCAGGGACGAGAGCGGCGAACGGCACGACAUCCUGCUACAUUCUGCCGCUGGCUGAGGCGUUACAGGAGGAGCCAAACAUGAUAAGAAGAGCCAGCAGAUGAGUGAGGAAAGGAAGAAGAGAGCAACACUUCGCAAAGAUGACAAAAACAACUGGGAAAAAAGUGCACUGCUGAGAGAAUCCCUGCCUGUCUCCGCCGGGGCCGUGCGGCCCAAGUGCCACUCAACAUACGGUUGCCAUGGCAUCACAUUGUCCAAGACUUAUGACACUCUGGCGUAAAGCGCUCAGAGGGUCUGUGCGAUUCACAGAUUAGCAGCAAGUGAGCUGUCUUGGUCUUAUGCGAUUCCUGCCAAGGUCUCAAAGGAAAGGUGAUGGAGUUCAUAUUGUCUCACCUUUCACGUGACUGCACUGCAAAGGCCACAGAUAAAAAGUUUCUCAUUCACAUUACAUGCAGCUGUGCAAGACUACAGCUCGCUCAAGUGCGUUGUUACAGUUCAACUUUUAAAAGAUUUUAGGCAUAAAAAUGCUUUAUCAAUGAGAUAUUCCCAUUUUUCAUUUUAAAAUGAUCAAUAAAGAAACAUUUACAAUUAGAUGUGGAGUAAAUGCUCUAAUUCUGAAUGACAAAAGUUCUAUAGGACAGAUGAGGCCCUAGGAAAAUAAGGGGCCACAGCUAACAACUCACUCUGACUUGGGAAAAACCUAACAUUCCAGGCAAAUAAUAAAUUUCCCAGUUUUACAGCAUGUGAAUCUGCUUAAAGAACAAAAUACUAUUCUCUUUCUUGGAUUAAUUCUGCAUUCACAAACUGGAUAGAAAAACAGGCACGCAUUCAACCUUUCAACUACCAAUCCAAUGUAAACCACUGAAAACCUGAAACAGCAAUUUGUGUUACACAGCUAUCGCUUUCUAUUCUAC